UUUAUAAAAAACAAAGUGGUGGUGUUAUAUAAUAUAAACAGGUGUGUGUUGUUGAUAAUAAGUGCUUGAACUACAUGGCUAGUUCUUUUAUAUUUUAGGUGAAAAAUAAAACUUCUGUCAACAAUAUGUUAAACAAGAAUAUUAUUCUGUAGACAAGUGGAGAAACAUGGAAAAAUCAAACAUUGUUCUCUCUCAAAAACCGAGUUCAGCCAACAGUGUGAGAAAAUAUUAAAAGGCAGUGAAUUCUGAAGCGCAUGAAGUCAUUUUGCAAACCAUCAGUUGAUUCAAACAAGACUGGCAGCUAAAGAAGUUAUAAAAGCUGUAAAACGUCGGCUUUGUUGCAUGCAAUACAUGUCCUGCACCACAUCAUAACGUCAUCACCGGAAAGGAGAGACGAGCCAAGAUAGCUGUACCUUGCCCAGGCGCGCUUUGUAACCGCGUGAUCUCUUUCUGUAUACCGUCACUUGUAUCCAAGGCAUAUUUCUCGUAUAAUGAAACUGCUUCUUGGCGUUUCAUUCCCAGGUAA